CAGCAGCCGCGGGAAUACGUAGGUCCCGAGCGUUGUCCGGAUUUAUUGGGCGUAAAGCGAGCGCAGGCGGUUAGAUAAGUCUGAAGUUAAAGGCAUUGGCUCAACCAAUGUAUGCUUUGGAAACUGUUAGACUUGAGUGCAGAAGGGGAGAGUGGAAUUCCAUGUGUAGCGGUGAAAUGCGUAGAUAUAUGGAGGAACACCGGUGGCGAAAGCGGCUCUCUGGUCUGUCACUGACGCUGAGGCUCGAAAGCGUGGGUAGCGAACAGGAUUAGAUACCCGCGUAGUCCCUGUCUCUUAUACA
rnacentral:rRNA from 1 species